rnacentral:lncRNA from 1 species
AUGUGCAUCUCCCUGGUCCUGGUCUUCCUGCUCUGCUUCGGCUUCUCCUGGCGCAGGAGGGACGAGAAGCAGAAGUCUCUGAGCGUGUCCGGGAUCAUUCUGCCUCCCCACGUGGUGGUUGGACAGAAGGGCCGUGUGACUGUUAGCAUUGAGGGACGCAGAGUCGACCGAGUCGAAACCAGCUGGUUCCUCAAUGACACACCCAUCGCCGACACCUCACGCAAAGGUACGACAGCUCAACCGAACCCUUUACUUAGACGUGAUGCACAGGUACACCAGUUAGACCACGCCCUUUACUUAGACAUGAUGCACAGGUACACCAGUUAGACCACUCCCUUUACUUAGUCGUGAUGCGCAGGUACACAAGCUCGACCCCGCCCCCCCCUCACACCUGACGCAAUGAUGUCUUGUUACACUUCAUGAAUGGGUAGGCUAGGCCACUGCCCGCACAGGUACAACCACAAGGCUACACCUACCCACCUCUCACAAAUCAGCGAGGCCACUCCCACCUCACGCACAGGUAAACCAGCUAGGCCACUUCCACCUCACAUACAGGUAAACCAGCUAGGCCACUCCCACCUCACACACAGGUAAACCAGCUAGGCCAAUCCCACAUCAUGCACAGGUAAACAAGCUAGGCCACUCCCACCUCACGCACAGGUAAACCAACUAGGCCACUCCCACCUCAUGCACAGGUAAACCAACUAGGCCACUCCCACCUCACGCACAGGUAAACCAACUAGGCCACUCCCACCUCACGCACAGGUAAACCAGCUAGGCCACUACCAUCUCAGGCACAGGUAAACCAGCUAGGCCACUCCCACCUCACGCACAGGUAAACCAGCUAGGCCACUCCCAUCUCAGGUACAGGUAAACCAGCUCGACCGUGUUUGACCGACAGGUACUGCAGGAAGGGGUUGAUGCAUUGAUUACACAUAAAGAGAAUUUAAUUCAAAUAUGAGCUUCCAAGCAAUCUCCAUAGAAAGUGAAUUGGAUAUGUAGAACAGAAGCAUCUCCAAGGAUGUUGAAUCCGCACAAUCUUUUACUUAUGGUUUUAAAAAGUACAAUGCACUUUGAACAAUCUUUGUUUUCUCUUCUACUCGUAAUACUAACAAAACAUACUCUAAUCACAAUCCCUAUGCCCCCAAAGGGACCUCCAAGACUAACUUUAACUGCCUCUAUAACACCUUAACCACCAUCCACCUGCCCUACGGUCUAACCCUCACCUCCCCAGUAUCAGAGAAAGGACCUCUGCUUCCCUCCAGAGGACAGACUGAGUACUACAAGCUGCACAACCAGGGCCCCUUGCACUCCACUGGAAACCGGCAGCAGCUGGUGUCAUCGCUCACCUUCGUCCCGCAGAUCUCCGUCCAUAAGGGGGCGGUGU